ACGCUCGACACCUACGGAGGCAGCAGUGGGGAAUAUUGCGCAAUGGGGGCAACCCUGACGCAGCAACGCCGCGUGAUUGAAGAAGGCCUUCGAGUUGUAAAGAUCUUUAAUCAGGGACGAAAAAUGACGGUACCUGAAGAAUAAGCUCCGGCUAACUACGUGCCAGCAGCCGCGGUAAUCUGAGCGGGCUGGCAAGGC
rnacentral:rRNA from 1 species